rnacentral:lncRNA from 1 species
GAGGCGGUGCGUGUCGAGGGAGAGAGAGAGAUUUGAGAGAGCAGAGCGUCUGUGUUUGUGUGUAACCGAGAGAGAUUGAGGGAGGAGAGUGACCGCAGGCGGCGCUCCUCGCCGGGAACGAGGGAGUGUCGGCGAUGGUGGCUUGGCUGCUGUCGCCGGACUGAUUCAGAGAGAGAGAGAGAGUCGGCGGCGGAAGUGGCUUCUCGCUGCUAUCGCCGGAGGUAGGAGCCGCGGCGGCGGAAAUUUCGAGGGAGAAGGGGCGGAUUUGGCGUGAAGAAGAAGAAGAGUGAGAUAUGUGAAAGCUAUGUGUGUGUGCGUGAGAGGCGCGGCUGAUAAGGAGGAAAAGAGGGUGGAGGUGUUGGGCUAGGGUGAGGAUUGGGCUUUGGGGUUGGGCUUGGUUUGGAAGUGGGCUUGAGUGUUGGGCCGGAUUUUAAUUAGUGUUGGGCUGGGUUUUAAUUAGUUUUGGGCUGCGAUUUUUUUAAAAGCUUGGGCCGAUUUUCUUUGUUUUAUUU